rnacentral:misc_RNA from 1 species
AAAGUGCGAUAAGCACUGUGACUUGCAGAAUUCCGCGAAUCAGCAGAUCUCUCAACGCAUAUGGUCUCAUUUGAACUUGUUCAUCUGAGAGGUAUACUUCAGUAUUGUCAUUAAUGUACCCACAAAGUGCAUUUAUGUCGAUUCGUCGACGUUUAGUUUGCUAAUUCAACUUGGCAAAUGUUUUAUGCUCGAUCACAUUAAGCUUCUUUUUAUGAUCUGAGUACUGAUUCAUCAAUCUGAAGUAUGCCAGGUUACCCGCUGAACUUAA